rnacentral:ncRNA from 2 species
UGGCUCAGUUCAGCAGGAACAA